GAACCACACCGCAAGUGCCUUCGGUUCCUUCAACCAAGCCAUUCAAAUCCUAAAAACCGAUGGAUAUGGCUGCGUUCUUAUGAAUGCAGCUUUUCGUUGUGCGCGCCGACUUCCGUGGAAUGUUCCCGUUAACGAAAGAUCUGGCGGCCUUUUGAUUUUUAACGGAGUUUCGAUGUUCUUUCCGACAUGUUCUUGUUGUUGAUUAUGAGAAAACCUGUUUGAUCCUUUUGAAUUUUGAGGCACUUUAAUUUUUUAAUUAUUGCUGUAGAAAUACAUUCAUUCUUGUGUUGC
rnacentral:lncRNA from 1 species